rnacentral:rRNA from 1 species
GACAGAGGAUGCAAGCGUUAUCCGGAAUGAUUGGGCGUAAAGCGUCUGUAGGUGGCUUUUUCAAGUCCGCCGUCAAAUCCCCAGGGCUCAACCCUGGACAGGCGGUGGAAACUACCAAGCUGGAGUACGGUAGGGGGCAGAGGGAAUUUCCGGUGGAGCGGUGAAAUGCGUAGAGAUCGGGAGGAACAUCAGUGGCGAAAGCGGCUUCCUGGUCCAGCACCGACGUUCAGGCACGAAAGCGUGGGGAGCAAACAGG